UGCAUUCAGUUGCCAUCGGUAAGGCCGGGCACUCUGGAUGGACUGCCGGCGACAAGCCGGAGGAAGUGGGGACGACGUCAAGUCAUCAUGGCCCUUAUGUCCAGGGCGACACACGUGCUACAAUGGCCGGCACAACGGGAAGCGAAGGGGCGACCCUGAGCGGAUCCCACAAAAGCCGGUCUCAGUUCGGAUUGCAGUCUGCAACUCGACUGCAUGAAGUUGGAAUCGCUAGUAAUCGUGGAUCAGCCAAGCCGCGGUGAAUACGUUCCCGGGCCUU
rnacentral:rRNA from 1 species